AUUGAACGCUGGCGGCAGGCCUAACACAUGCAAGUCGAGCGGAUGAAGGGAGCUUGCUCCUGGAUUCAUCGGCGGACGGGUGAGUAAUGCCUAGGAAUCUGCCUGGUAGUGGGGGAUAACGUCCGGAAACGGGCGCUAAUACCGCAUACGUCCUGAGGGAGAAAGUGGGGGAUCUUCGGACCUCACGCUAUCAGAUGAGCCUAGGUCGGAUUAGCUAGUUGGUGGGGUAAAGGCCUACCAAGGCGACGAUCCGUAACUGGUCUGAGAGGAUGACCAGUCACACUGGAACUGAGACACGGUCCAGACUCCUACGGGAGGCAGCAGUGGGGAAUAUUGGACAAUGGGCGAAAGCCUGAUCCAGCCAUGCCGCGUGUGUGAAGAAGGUCUUCGGAUUGUAAAGCACUUUAAGUUGGGAGGAAGGGCAGUAAGUUAAUACCUUGCUGUUUUGACGUUACCAACAGAAUAAGCACCGGCUAACUUCGUG
rnacentral:rRNA from 1 species